AUUGAACGCUGGCGGCAGGCUUAACACAUGCAAGUCGAGCGGGGGAAGGUAGCUUGCUACCGGACCUAGCGGCGGACGGGUGAGUAAUGCUUAGGAAUCUGCCUAUUAGUGGGGGACAACAUCUCGAAGGGGAUGCUAAUACCGCAUACGUCCUACGGGAGAAAGCAGGGGAUCUUCGGACCUUGCGCUAAUAGAUGAGCCUAAGUCGGAUUAGCUAGUUGGUGGGGUAAAGGCCUACCAAGGCGAUGAUCUGUAGCGGGUCUGAGAGGAUGAUCCGCCACGCUGGGACUGAGACACGGCCCAGACUCCUACGGGAGGCAGCAGUGGGGAAUAUUGGACAAUGGGGGGAACCCUGGUCCAGCCAUGCCGCGUGUGUGAAGAAGGCCUUAUGGUUGUAAAGCACUUUAAGCGAGGAGGAGGCUACUCUAGUUAAUACCUAGGGAUAGUGGACGUUACUCGCAGAAUAAGCACCGGCUAACUCUGUGCCAGCCGCCGCAGUAA
rnacentral:rRNA from 1 species